UACAGAGGUCUCAAGCGUUGUUCGGAUUCAUUGGGCGUAAAGGGUGCGUAGGUGGCGCCGUAAGUCAGGUGUGAAAUCUCGGGGCUCAACCCCGAAACUGCACUUGAUACUGCGGUGCUCGAGUACUGGAGAGGAGAUUGGAAUUUACGGUGUAGCGGUGAAAUGCGCAGAUAUCAGGAGGAACACCGGUGGCGAAGGCGGGUCUCUGGCUCGUAACUGACGCUCAUGCACGACAGCGUGGGGAUCAAACAGG
rnacentral:rRNA from 1 species